UACGUAGGGUCCAAGCGUUAUCCGGAAUCACUGGGCGUAAAGCGUGCGUAGGUGGUAAUUUGCGUGCAGUGCGAAAUUGUGUGGCUCAACCAUACAACGGUACUGCAUACGGGAUUACUAGAGGACAUGAGAGGUACAGUGGAAUUACUGGUGUAGCAGUGAAAUGCGUAGAUAUCAGUAGGAACACCAAUGGCGAAGGCAGCUUGCUGGCAUGUAUCUGACGCUAAGGCACGAAAAGCGUGGGGAGCGAACAGG
rnacentral:rRNA from 1 species